AUUGAACGCUGGCGGCAGGCUUAACACAUGCAAGUCGAGCGAGCGGCGGACGGGUGAGUGAUGUCUGGACAACUGGCUGAUGGAGGGGUAUAACUACUGGAAACGGUAGCUAAUACCGCAUACCCUCCUUUGUGCCCAGGUGGGAUUAGCUAGUAGGUGGGGUAAUGGCUCACCAGGGCGACGAUCCCUAGCUGGUCUGCGAGGAGGACCAGCCACACUGGGACUGAGACACGGCCCAGACUCCUACGGGAGGCAGCAGUGGGGAAUAUUGCACAAUGUGCGAAAGCCUGAUGCAGCCAUGCCGCGUGUAUGAAGAAGGCUUUCGGGUUGUAAAGUACUUUCAGCGGGGAGGCGUUACCCGCAGAAGAAGCACCGGCUAACUCCGUGCCAGCAGCCGCGGUAAUAC
rnacentral:rRNA from 1 species